rnacentral:rRNA from 1 species
UACGUAGGUCGCAAGCGUUGUCCGGAAUCAUUGGGCGUAAAGCGCGUGUAGGCGGCUCGGUAAGUCUGCUGUGAAAGUCCAGGGCUCAACCCUGGAAUGCCGGUGGAUACUGUCGAGCUCGAGUCCGGAAGAGGCGAGUGGAAUUCCUGGUGUAGCGGUGAAAUGCGCAGAUAUCAGGAGGAACACCAAUAGCGAAGGCAGCUCGCUGGGACGGUACUGACGCUAAGGCGCGAAAGCGUGGGGAGCGAACAGG